AUUGAACGCUGGCGGCAGGCCUAACACAUGCAAGUCGAGCGGCAGCGGGAAAGUAGCUUGCUACUUUUGCCGGCGAGCGGCGGACGGGUGAGUAAUGCCUGGGAAAUUGCCCAGUCGAGGGGGAUAACAGUUGGAAACGACUGCUAAUACCGCAUACGCCCUACGGGGGAAAGCAGGGACCUUCGGGCCUUGCGCGAUUGGAUAUGCCCAGGUGGGAUUAGCUAGUUGGUGAGGUAAUGGCUCACCAAGGCGACGAUCCCUAGCUGGUCUGAGAGGAUGAUCAGCCACACUGGAACUGAGACACGGUCCAGACUCCUACGGGAGGCAGCAGUGGGGAAUAUUGCACAGUGGGGGAAACCCUGAUGCAGCCAUGCCGCGUGUGUGAAGAAGGCCUUCGGGUUGUAAAGCACUUUCAGCGAGGAGGAAAGGUUGAUGCCUAAUACGUAUCAACUGUGACGUUACUCGCAGAAGAAGCACCGGCUAACUCCGUGCCAGCAGCCGCGGUAA
rnacentral:rRNA from 1 species